rnacentral:tRNA from 1 species
UCUCUGGCAGUCCAGCGAUUAGGACUCUGCGCUUCCACUGCAGGGGGCCUGGGUUCAAUCCCUGGUCGGGGAA